rnacentral:rRNA from 1 species
CCUACGGGUGGCAGCAGUGGGGAAUAUUGCGCAAUGGGCGAAAGCCUGACGCAGCGACGCCGCGUGAGGGAUGAAGGUCUUCGGAUCGUAAACCUCUGUCAGCAGGGAAGAACGGUCACUGUGCUAAUCAGCAGUGAAUUGACGGUACCUGCAAAGGAAGCACCGGCUAACUCCGUGCCAGCAGCCGCGGUAAUACGGAGGGUGCGAGCGUUAAUCGGAAUUACUGGGCGUAAAGCGCUCGUAGGCGGUAUGUCAAGUCAAGGGUGAAAUCCCCGGGCUCAACGUGGGAACUGCCUUUGAAACUGGCAAACUGGAGUGUGUGAGAGGAUAGUGGAAUUCCAGGUGUAGGAGUGAAAUGCGUAGAUAUCUGGAGGAACAUCAGGGGCGAAGGCGACUAUCUGGCACAUAACUGACGCUGAGGAGCGAAAGCGUGGGUAGCAAACAGGAUUAGAUACCCGGGUAGUC